AGGUUAAAUCGGGGUACAGGGUAGUUGUUCGAAAAAUGAUAAGAAUGUCGAGUACGAUAAUUCUGAAAUGUUGGCAUUACCAACAUAAUAUUUUUUUUUUUAAAUAGUAAAUAAUUUGACAUUUUAAAUAUGUGCUGCACUGAAUAAUUCGUUAGCUAUUAUUUAUUACAUAAUAAAAAUUAUUGAAUAAGCUAUUUUUAACUAAUAUUGUUCUGUGUUCAUAACUCUUUAAAUAGUCCUAUUAGCUAUUGCGUAAUUUGUUGACAAAAGACCUAAGUUAGGUCAUGGUAUAAUCCUUAUACUAUGAGUUAGGUUAGGUAAUUAAGAUUAUAGGUCUAUUGUCUUUGGCAUAGACAGAGAAAAUACUAAAAUUACUGUAUACUGUAUAUAAAAUUAGUAGGUAAUAGGUAUACUUAUCUGUGGAAAAUAGGUCUAUUAUAGUAAUAUAGUCUAAUGACUGCAGCUGUCUGCACUCUGCUUAUUUUUAAAUUAUUUGGUAUGGAGUUCUGGACACUGGAAUACUGGACGUCUGACUACACCCAACAUCCGUACGCUACUAGUACACUACUAUGUUCAAUGCUGAUGCACUGUACUUGGAAUUUGGAAUUUGAAAAUUUAAGAAGAAGGUCUGGCUCUCCUAAAAUACAUGAAAUAUAAAUAUUCAAAAAUUGAUGAAUCUCUGCGAUUAAAAUAAAUUGUGAAUUACCUGGAUAAGGACCAAUUUGCUGGGUUAUAUAUCCAUCUAUCCUAUGGCCUGCUCUACGUAGAAACGUUAUUAUACGGUCUUCCGAAUGGUCUUCAAUCAAAUCAUCAAUGAAAUCUCUAAUUGUCCUGGUAUUUCGGUCUCUCAUAACAACUAUGAAACUUGCCUUCAAAUUAUUUGAGGCUUGUUUAAAUUCCACUUCGCAAGUAUUUUCUAAAUACCUCAACUGGUCUAUAGAUGAAAAACAAUAUGUGACAGACUUUUGAUUAGUAACUGGUAUUAACUAGUUAAAUGAAAACUUACCAAUAAAUUCCCAUAUUUUUGGAUGAGGCCUUAUGAUUUUUAAGAGUACGGCAUGAUUUGGUUGUGCCUGGAAUGUGAGGGCAAAGUGUCGGUUUUCAUUCAUUUCUAAAAGUUGAUGGAGGUGUAAAAGAUUCCUUGGAGUUGGGGGGAAUAUGGAUUUUCUUAUUUGGCGCAUUCUCUCUGUGGCUUGGAGGUAUGUAUAGUUGUAUG
rnacentral:lncRNA from 1 species